CACGCCGUAAACGAUGAAUGCUAGCCGUCGGGGAGCAUGCUCUUCGGUGGCGCAGCCAACGCAAUAAGCAUUCCGCCUGGGGAGUACGAUCGCAAGAUUAAAACUCAAAGGAAUUGACGGGGGCCCGCACAAGCGGUGGAGCAUGUGGUUCAAUUCGAAGCAACGCGCAGAACCUUACCAGGCCUUGACAUCCCGGUCGCGGCCCCUUGAAAGAGGGGCCUUCAGUUCGGCUGGACCGGUGACAGGUGC
rnacentral:rRNA from 1 species